rnacentral:tRNA from 1 species
AGCCCCGUGGUGUACAACAUAUCGGAUUGCAACUCCGAAGAGGCAGACUAAUAAUCUGCCGGGGCUU